UACGUAGGAGGCAAGCGUUGUCCGGAAUUACUGGGCGUAAAGCGCGUGUAGGUGGUGGGACAAGUCUGCUGUGAAAGCGCCUGGCUUAACCGGGCGAGGUCGGCGGAAACUGUUCGACUUGAGGACGGUAGAGGGGGGUGGAAUUCCCGGUGUAGUGGUGAAAUGCGUAGAUAUCGGGAGGAACACCAGUGGCGAAGGCGGCUUCCUGGCCUGUUCUUGACGCUGAGGCGCGAAAGCUAGGGGAGCAAACGGG
rnacentral:rRNA from 1 species